rnacentral:rRNA from 1 species
GAUCAUGGCUCAGGAUGAACGCUGGCGGCGUGCCUAACACAUGCAAGUCGAACGGACUUACAUUGAAGCCUAGCGAUAUGUAAGUUAGUGGCGGACGGGUGAGUAACGCGUGGGUAACCUGCCUUGUACUGGGGGACAACAGUUGGAAACGACUGCUAAUACCGCAUAAGCGCACAGCUUCGCAUGAAGCAGUGUAGAAAACUCCGGUGGUACAAGAUGGACCCGCGUCUGAUUAGG